rnacentral:rRNA from 1 species
UACGUAGGGGGCAAGCGUUAUCCGGAUUUACUGGGUGUAAAGGGAGCGCAGACGGCAGUGCAAGUCUGGAGUGAAAGCCCGGGGCCCAACCCCGGGACUGCUCUUGGAACUGCGUGGCUGGAGUGCAGGAGGGGCAGGCGGAAUUCCUGGUGUAGCGGUGAAAUGCGUAGAUAUUAGGAGGAACACCAGUGGCGAAGGCGGCCUGCUGGACGGUGACUGACGCUGAGGCUCGAAAGCGUGGGGAGCAAACAGG